AUUGAACGCUGGCGGCAUGCUUUACACAUGCAAGUCGAACGGUAACAGGUCUUCGGAUGCUGACGAGUGGCGAACGGGUGAGUAAUGCAUCGGAACGUGCCCAGUCGUGGGGGAUAACGCAGCGAAAGCUGUGCUAAUACCGCAUACGAUCUAUGGAUGAAAGCGGGGGACCGUAAGGCCUCGCGCGAUUGGAGCGGCCGAUGUCAGAUUAGCUAGUUGGUGGGGUAAAGGCCCACCAAGGCGACGAUCUGUAGCUGGUCUGAGAGGACGACCAGCCACACUGGGACUGAGACACGGCCCAGACUCCUACGGGAGGCAGCAGUGGGAAUUUUGGACAAUGGGCGCAAGCCUGAUCCAGCAAUGCCGCGUGCAGGAAGAAGGCCUUCGCGUUGUAAACUGCUUUUGUACGGAACGAAACGGUCUGGGUUAAUACCCUGGGCUAAUGACGGUACCGUAAGAAUAAGCACCGGCUAACUACGUGCCAGCAGCCGCAGUAACAC
rnacentral:rRNA from 1 species